AGAGUUUGAUCAUGGCUCAGGAUAAACGCUGGCGGCGCACAUAAGACAUGCAAGUCGAACGAACUUAACUCAUUCUUUACGAUUGAGAGCGGUUAGUGGCGGACUGGUGAGUAAUACGUAAGCAACCUGCCUAUCAGAGGGGAAUAACAGUGAGAAAUCAUUGCUAAUACCGCAUAUGCUAACAGUAUUGCAUGAUACAGUUAGGAAAGGAGCAAUCCGCUGAUAGAUGGGCUUACGCCUGAUUAGCUAGUUGGUGGGGCAACGGCCUACCAAGGCGACGAUCAGUAGCCGGACUGAGAGGUUGAACGGCCACAUUGGGACUGAGAUACGGCCCAGACUCCUACGGGAGGCAGCAGUCGGGAAUAUUGCGCAAUGGAGGAAACUCUGACGCAGUGACGCCGCGUAUAGGAAGAAGGUUUUCGGAUUGUAAACUAUUGUCGUUAGGGAAGAUAAAAGACUGUACCUAAGGAGGAAGCCCCGGCUAACUAUGUGCCAGCAGCCGCGGUAAUACAUAGGGGGCAAGCGUUAUCCGGAAUUAUUGGGUGUAAAGGGUGCGUAGACGGGGAGACAAGUUGGUUGUGAAAUCCCUCGGCUCAACUGAGGAACUGCAACCAAAACUAUUUCCCUUGAGUGUCGGAGAGGAAAGUGGAAUUCCUAGUGUAGCGGUGAAAUGCGUAGAUAUUAGGAGGAACACCAGUGGCGAAGGCGACUUUCUGGACGAUAACUGACGUUGAGGCACGAAAGUGUGGGGAGCAAACAGGAUUAGAUACCCUGGUAGUCCACACCGUAAACGAUGGAUA
rnacentral:rRNA from 1 species